UACGUAGGGUGCAAGCGUUGUCCGGAAUUAUUGGGCGUAAAGAGCUCGUAGGCGGUUCGUUAUGUCGGAUGUGAAAGCCCUUGGCUUAACCGAGGAAGUGCAUCCGAAACUGGCGAGCUAGAGUACUAAAGAGGAUCGCGGAAUUCCCGGUGUAGAGGUGAAAUUCGUAGAUAUCGGGAGGAACACCGGUGGCGAAGGCGGCGAUCUGGGUAGAUACUGACGCUGAGGUGCGAAAGCGUGGGGAGCAAACAGG
rnacentral:rRNA from 1 species